CGGGGAUGGGCAGGCUCCCGGUAGGCGACACCCGCCCAAGCUCUGC
rnacentral:ncRNA from 1 species